rnacentral:rRNA from 1 species
UUUUUAAUAAAGCAGCUAUUUCUUGGAAAUUUUUACAAACUAAAUAAAUUUAAUAAGCUUUAAACUCCGUCACAUACUUUAAGAAAAAUAUAAAUAUUACUCAUUGAAGCAAG